GGAGAGGUGGCUGAGUGGUCGAAAGCGGCGGUUUGCUAAACCGUUGUACGGGAUAAAACCUGUACCGAGGGUUCGAAUCCCUCCCUCUCCGCCA
rnacentral:tRNA from 1 species